rnacentral:rRNA from 1 species
UACGUAGGGGGCAAGCGUUGUCCGGAUUUAUUGGGCGUAAAGAGCGUGUAGGCGGCUAGAUAGGUCCGUUGUGAAAACUCGAGGCUCAACCUCGAGACGUCGAUGGAAACCAUCUGGCUAGAGUCCGGAAGAGGAGAGUGGAAUUCCUGGUGUAGCGGUGAAAUGCGCAGAUAUCAGGAAGAACACCCGUGGCGAAGGCGGCUCUCUGGUACGUGACUGACGCUGAGGCACGAAAGCGUGGGGAGCAAACAGG